UUACGGCUACAUCACGUUGAAACACCGAUUCUUGUAUGAUCACAGAAGUUAAGCAACUUCGGGCCUUGUCAAUACCUAAAUGAGUGACCGAUUGGGAAUACCAGGUACUGUA